CCUACGGGGGGCUGCAGUGAGGAAUAUUGGUCAAUGGGCGAGAGCCUGAACCAGCCAAGUCGCGUGAGGGAAGACGGUCCUACGGAUUGUAAACCUCUUUUGUCAGGGAGCAAGGAGCGCCACGAGUGGUGCGGCGAGAGUACCUGAAGAAAAAGCAUCGGCUAACUCCGUGCCAGCAGCCGCGGUAAUACGGAGGAUCCGAGCGUUAUCCGGAUUUAUUGGGUUUAAAGGGUGCGCAGGCGGAAGUGGAAAGUCAGUGGUAAAAUUGCGGGGCUAAACCUCGCCGAGCAGUUGAAACUGGCAUUCUAGAGUGGGCUAGAGGUAUGCGGAAUGCGUGGUGUAGCGGUGAAAUGCAUAGAUAUCACGCAGAACUCCGAUUGCGAAGGCAGCAUACCGGCGCCCAACUGACGCUCAUGCACGAAAGCGUGGGUAUCGAACAGGAUUAGAUACCCGAGUAGUC
rnacentral:rRNA from 1 species